rnacentral:rRNA from 1 species
AGAGUUUGAUCCUGGCUCAGGAUGAACGCUAGCUACAGGCUUAACACAUGCAAGUCGAGGGGCAGCGAGAAGGAAGCUUGCUUUCUUUGUCGGCGACCGGCGCACGGGUGAGUAACGCGUAUCCAACCUUCCCUAUACUAGAGGAUAGCCCGGCGAAAGUCGGAUUAAUACUCUAUGUUAUUCAAUGCGGACAUCUAAGUUGAAUCAAAGAUUUAUCGGUAUAGGAUGGGGAUGCGUCUGAUUAGGUUGUUGGCGGGGUAACGGCCCACCAAGCCUACGAUCAGUAGGGGUUCUGAGAGGAAGGUCCCCCACAUUGGAACUGAGACACGGUCCAAACUCCUACGGGAGGCAGCAGUGAGGAAUAUUGGUCAAUGGGCGCGAGCCUGAACCAGCCAAGUAGCGUGCAGGAUGACGGCCCUAUGGGUUGUAAACUGCUUUUAUACGGGGAUAAAGUGAGGGACGUGUCCUUUAUUGUAGGUACCGUAUGAAUAAGGACCGGCUAAUUCCGUGCCAGCAGCCGCGGUAAUACGGAAGGUCCGGGCGUUAUCCGGAUUUAUUGGGUUUAAAGGGAGCGCAGGCCGAUGGUUAAGCGUGACGUGAAAUGUAGCCGCUCAACGGCUGAACUGCGUCGCGAACUGGCUAUCUUGAGUGAGUUCGAUGUUGGCGGAAUUCGUGGUGUAGCGGUGAAAUGCUUAGAUAUCACGAAGAACUCCGAUUGCGAAGGCAGCCAACAAGGCCUUUACUGACGCUAAAGCUCGAAGGUGCGGGUAUCGAACAGGAUUAGAUACCCUGGUAGUCCGCACGGUAAACGAUGGAUGCCCGCUGUUUGCGAUAUACUGUGAGCGGCCAAGAGAAAUCGUUAAGCAUCCC